UACGUAGGGUCCGAGCGUUGUCCGGAAUUAUUGGGCGUAAAGGGCUCGUAGGCGGUCUGUCGCGUCGGGAGUGAAAUCUUACAGCUUAACUGUGAACUUGCUUUCGAUACGGGCAGACUUGAGGCAUUCAGGGGAGAACGGAAUUCCUGGUGUAGCGGUGAAAUGCGUAGAUAUCGUAAGGAAGACCAGUGGCGAAGGCGAGUCUCUGGACAGUUACUGACGCUGAGGCACGAAGGCCAGGGGAGCAAACGGG
rnacentral:rRNA from 1 species